GAGUAAAGAUUUCGGUCGCUUUGGGAGGAGCUCGCUUACUAUCAGCUUGUUGGUAGGGUAAUGGCCUACCAAGGCUAUGACGGUUAGGGGGUGUGAGAGCAUGACCCCCAGCAUUGGCACUGAAACACUGGCCAAACACCUACGGGUGGCUGCAGUCGAGAAUCUUCCACAAUGGGGGAAACCCUGAUGGAGCGAUGCUGCGUGCGGGAUGAAGGCCUUCGGGUUGUAAACCGCUUUUGUAGGGGACGAAAUUUUUGACGGUACCCUUUCGAAUAAGAGGUUGCUAACUCUGUGCCAGCAGCAGCGGUAAUACAGAGACCUCAAGCGUUAUCCGGAUUUACUGGGCGUAAAGCGUCUGUAGGGGGUUUAUUAAGUUCCAAGUAAAAUUUCAAGGCUCAACUUUGAAUUCGCUUGGAAAACUAAUAAACUGGAGUCUAGCAGAGGUGCAUGGAACUUGUGGUGUAGGAGUGAAAUCCGUUGAUAUCGCAAGGAACACCAAAGGCGAAGGCAUUGCACUGGGCUAGCACUGACCCUGAGAGACGAAAGCGUGGGGAGCAAAACGGAUUAGAUACCCGUGUAGUCCACGCCCUAAACGAUGAAUGCUAAAUGUUCGGGGAUUCGACCCCCUGGGUGUUACAGCUAACGCGUUAAGCAUUCCGCCUGGGAAGUACGGCCGCAAGGCUAAAACUCAAAGGAAUAGACGGGGAUCCGCACAAGCGGUGGAGCGUCUGGUUUAAUUCGACAGUAAGCGUGGUACCUCACCAGGGUUUGACAUCCCUUGACAGCCUUGGAAACAAGGUUUCCUUCGGGCAAGGUGACAGGUGCUGCAUGGUCGUCGUCAGUUCGUGCCGUGAGGUGUUCCGUUAAGUCGGGAAACGAACGAAACCCCUAUUGCAUGUUACAAUUUCUCAUGCAAGACUGCCCGGAUAUACUGGGAGGAAGGUGGGGAUGACGUCAGAUCUGCAUGGUCCUUAUACCCUGGGCGACACAGGCGCUACAAUGGCAGAGACAAAGGGUUGCAAAACCGCAAGGUGAAGCUAAUCCCAAAAACUUUGUCUAAGUUCGGAUUGAAGGCUGCAAUUCGCCUUCAUGAAGCUGGAAUCGCUAGUAAUCGUGAAUCAGCCACGUCACGGUGAAUAUGUUCCCGGAUCUUGUACUCACCGCCCGUCACACCAAGAGAGUUGGUAGCUCC
rnacentral:rRNA from 1 species